rnacentral:rRNA from 1 species
UUGACCUGCCGGACCUGAUUGCUAUCGGAUUGGUACUAAGCCAUGCGAGUAAGUGUACAAUACACUGCAGACGGCUCAGUAACACGUGGUCAAGCUAACCUAUGGACGUGGAUAACCUCGGGAAACUGAGAAUAAACCGCGAUAGAUCAUGGUGCCUGGAAUGGCCCAUGGUCGAAAUAGUUUACUGCCAUAGGAUGCGACUGCGGCCUAUCAGUUUGUUGGUGAGGUAAUGGCCCACCAAGACUAUUACAGGUACGGGCUCUGAGAGGAGAAGCCCGGAGAUGGGUACUGAGACACGGACCCAGGCCCUAUGGGGCGCAGCAGGCGAGAAACCUUAGCAAUGUGCGAAAGCACGACUGGGUUAGUCCGAGUGAUUUCUGAUAAAGAAAUCUUUUGUCGGUUCUAAAAGCACCGAUGAAUAAGGGGUGGGCAAGUCUGGUGUCAGCCGCCGCGGUAAUACCAGCACCUCGAGUGAUCAGGACGUUUAUUGGGCCUAAAGCAUCCGUAGCUGGCUUUGCAAGUCUCCGGUUAAAUCAACCUGCUUAACAGAUUGGCCGCUGGAGAUACUACAAAGCUAGGGAGUGGGAGAGGUAGACGGUAUUCGGGGGGUAGGGGGUAAAUCCUCUGAUCCUCG